UACGUAGGGUGCAAGCGUUGCCCGGAUUUAUUGGGCGUAAAGGGCGCGUAGGCGGCCUGCUAAGUCGAACGUGAAAUCCCCGGGCUCAACCCGGGAACUGCGUCCGAUACUGGCAGGCUUGAAUCCGGGAGAGGGAUGCGGAAUUCCAGGUGUAGCGGUGAAAUGCGUAGAUAUCUGGAGGAACACCGGUGGCGAAGGCGGCAUCCUGGACCGGCAUUGACGCUGAGGCGCGAAAGCCAGGGGAGCAAACGGG
rnacentral:rRNA from 1 species